CAGUCGCCGCGGUAAUACAGAGGAUGCAAGCGUUAUCCAGAAUGAUUGGGCGUAAAGCGUCUGUAGGUGGCUUUUCAAGUCCGCCGUCAAAUCCCAAGGCUCAACCCUGGACAGGCGGUGGAGAAUACCAAGCUGGAGUACGGUAGGGGCAGAGGGAAUUUCCGGUGGAGCGGUGAAAUGCGUUGAGAUUGGAAAGAACACCAACGGUGAAAGCACUCUGCUGGGCCGACACUGACACUGAGAGACGAAAGCUAGGGGAGCAAAUGGGAUUAGAUACCCCUGUAGUCCCUGUCUCUUAUAC
rnacentral:rRNA from 1 species